UGGGGAAGUAUUGCACAAUGGGGGAAACCCUGAUGCAGCGACGCCGCGUGAGCGAAGAAGUAUUUCGGUAUGUAAAGCUCUAUCAGCAGGGAAGAAAAUGACGGUACCUGACUAAGAAGCCCCGGCUAACUACGUGCC
rnacentral:rRNA from 1 species